rnacentral:miRNA from 1 species
UUGGGUUGACCAAAAAGUUCAUUUGGAUUUUUCCAUAACAUUUAACAGAAAAACCUGAAUGAACUCUUUGGCUAAUCCA